rnacentral:misc_RNA from 1 species
UUGGCCCAGGAAAACCUGAAUCAUCCCAGGAUGAUCACGAACAUUAUUCCCAGGCCAUGGAGUCCCAUCCUGCAUUGUCCACCCCUCUUCUGGGACCUUUUUUGCCUUGGCAACCAAAGCAUUGAUCCGAACUUUAAACUCUUCAUAUUCUCUCUUCAUUGCUCUCCGUUCCUUCACAAAUGAAGCGUGAACCUUAUCUUCCAGAUAAUCUAUCUUUUGAGCAAAAUACCACUCUGGUGCCCUUGGUUCAAUGUUAAAUUUCUUACAGAAAGGGACCCACUUUUUUGCAAAUUCUGAUGUUUCUGAUAGUGCCUCAAAUGUCAGCAUAGCAGCACCGUCAUCAGAAACAUAACAUGAGACCUUGUCAACAGGAUAAUCCACCGCAAGAAUGGACAGAACUGUGUUUGCAGUGACCAGUGGAGGUUCUUUUAAUGGAUCGACUGUACUUACAAAUAUAUCAAUUGGAGAGAGUUGAGAAGGAUGGCCUUCCUUCUCAUACCUGAGAGACAAUCGAUCCAGAUAAGUUUCUCUGUCAAUAGGGAGCCACUUUGGAAAUUGAUCAAGAAUCCAUGAAAGAGCAAACCAAAUCUCACAAAUAACAGAUAUGAGCCACAAUGCAAAUGCAUCAUUCACAGGGUGAGUGACUCGGUAAUGGAAGAAGAACCCAAGAACUACAAGUCGAAUAAUGAUGAUCAUUCGAUAAGGAUUGAUUUGGCUUGAAGGAAUAGGCAAUUUUCGGGACAAUGGCUGUCUGGCCUCAUCCAUUAGUGGUAGAUCAGGUGCAUCACCGUCAUAAUCCCAGUCUUUGCCGCCAUUUUCAUUCUCCAUCAUCUGCAGUUUUUCUUGUUUUUGUUUCCAAUUCUCCAUCCUCUCCUUCCAAGCAAUACUUCCAUAGCCAUAAGCAGCCAAGUCCUUGGAAGGAUCCAUAGAUCUGGGUUGCACAGGAAGGGUAUGAUCUGAAAAAGGUAGAGGAUGAAUUCUUUUGCCGCCACCGCCACCAUUAGACAUGAAUGAAGGGACCAAAGCAUGUUGUUCUGGAGGAAUAUCACCAACCGUUCGACCGUCAGUAAGGAGAGGAAGUUGGGGCAGAGGAUGGAGGGCUUGAUGAGGAUCAGCAUUAUCAAAUGCACGACCGUAAUGAAGUAUAGCAUCUGUAGCAAGAGGAUGCUGCAUAUUCUUUCUACCCUUUGUUGCAUCAAAAUUGAACUCAUUUUCCAAGUCAUCGAUGUCAUCUUCUUCUUCGUCUCCCUCAACUCUGGCACAGCCCUUGAGACGCUUGAAUCUAGUCUUGCACUGAGGACAGACUUGAGUUCCUUCCCUGCGCUCAUACUCAUAGCAAGUUCUGCAUAUUGGGAAGGCGCACUCAUUGCAGGCCACAAACAGCUCGCCAUCUACAGUUAGCCCCACAUCGUCUCCGCAUAUGUGACAUAUUUGCCCGCUUAACUGCUGUAACGGUUUCGGAGCAGAUUCGCCAUCUCUACGUAUGACAACAAGCUCAUUCCUAUUGUGAGAGCCGGCCACCAAGCCUGCACUAGCCUCCAUUGACCUUUCUCGCAAUGUAAUUAAAAACUGAAAAUAUCAGUACAGAUCUGUCGAAAAGAAGCCCAGCAGCAGCAGCAGCAGCGAUCUCUUGUGUUUCUACAGUUAGACCUUUUUCCUACACCUCCACUAUCUUUAUCAUUCUUUGCUUCACUUCUCAAUCAACAAUCAAACAAUUAAAAGAGCUUUCCUGAAUGACAAUUGGCAUCUUGUUUCUUCUUCAACAAAGAGUUGGUAGCUGCCACUCGUUUUCAUUUCUCACGAAUGGGCCUUUGUUGUCGUUUAUCAACAUCUCCGCCGACACUUCUAAUGGCGUCAUUAACACAGAUGCAGACGAGGGCGGCUUUGGCAUUUUUAGUAGUAAGAGGUGAAAUUAAAAUAUGCGCAAAUUGAGGAUC